GUGGAUUCAAGGCUCCAGCACAUUUUAAUGAUUGUGGAAUCUAUCAGAAGGAUCCCAUCCAGGACACCACAAUAUAGUGAGCUGUCAUGUCUCCUUAGGCUCCUCUUGGCUGUGACAACUUCUCAGACUUCCCUUGUUUUUGACAGCCUUGAUGUUUUGAGGAAAGUACCAGGCAGAAGGCUGAAUUGAGUGGACAACAGCAAGAGCUUCCAAUAGGGUUUGGACAACCUAAGCAGGAGAUUGGAAGGAGGAGGAACGGGAGAUGGAGCUAUGGGGUUGUCUCAGGCUGGCUGUGUCUUUGGAAAGUAAAAUACAGCUCCUCUCAAGACAGAUCUUGUUUGCAACUGUAAUGUCUUCUAUAAUUCAGGCCUAGCCAUCAGGUAGCAACAAAUGUUACUGGCCCUGGGGUCCUGUACUAUCCCUAAUGGAUUCUCUACUGCAUACCCUGCACACUUGUUUAUAAAUACCCUCUUUGUUAAACUGUUCUAGAAUAACCCUAAUGUCAGCGUUCAAUCUGUUUUCUAUUGGGACCUUUUAAAAAGAAGCUUUUGUGUGGUAUAUGUAAAAACUCUUCAAUAAAUA